GGAGAAAAGCAGGGGAUCGCAAGACCUUGCGCUUUUGGAGCGGCCGAUGCCUGAUUAGCUUGUUGGUGAGGUAAAAGCUCACCAAGGCUUCGAUCAGUAGCUGGUCUGAGAGGACGACCAGCCACACUGGGACUGAGACACGGCCCAGACUCCUACGGGAGGCAGCAGUGGGGAAUUUUGGACAAUGGGGGCAACCCUGAUCCAGCCAUGCCGCGUGAGUGAAGAAGGCCUUCGGGUUGUAGAGCUCUUUCAGCCGGAACGAAACGGUUACGGUUAAUACCCGUGACUACUGACGGUACCGGAAGAAGAAGCACCGGCUAACUACGUGCCAGCAGCCGCGGUAAUACGUAGGGUGCGAGCGUUAAUCGGAAUUACUGGGCGUAAAGCGUGCGCAGGUGGUUUUGUAAGUCAGAUGUGAAAUCCCCGGGCUUAACCUGGGAACUGCGUUUGAAACUACAAAGCUAG
rnacentral:rRNA from 1 species